AAGCUGUAGUGGUUCGACGGUUCGCGCUUAGCGAUGAAAAGGGAAUCCGGUGACUGGCAAAAAAGCCAGGAUCCCGGAACUGUCCCCGCAACUGUAAACAGCGGUUUCGCACCACAAUGCCACUGGGAAUUCCCGGGAAGGCGGUGCGCAACGCCAACGCUGUGAGUCAGGAGACCUGCCGCCGCAACUUCGUACUC
rnacentral:ncRNA from 1 species